UACGAAGGGGGCUAGCGUUGUUCGGAAUUACUGGGCGUAAAGCGCGCGUAGGCGGUGAUCUUUGUCAGAGGUGAAAGCCUGGGGCUCAACUCCAGAAUUGCCUUUGAAACGGGAUCGCUUGAGUCCGAGAGAGGAUGGCGGAAUUCCUAGUGUAGAGGUGAAAUUCGUAGAUAUUAGGAAGAACACCGGUGGCGAAGGCGGCCAUCUGGCUCGGUACUGACGCUCAGGCGCGAAAGCGUGGG
rnacentral:rRNA from 1 species